UGACUUAUGAAACGGAGGAAAUUAGACUGAACUCCAGUACUUCAUUUUUUAAAAGGGGACCUGUCCAGCCUUGAGAAUUUCCUGAGCAUCUGAUCUGCCAGAUUACGAGCAUUUCCUGAGACCAUAAAACAGAGGAGCAUUCAAAGCAUCAUCAAAUUUACCUGUUGAGAACUGUGUAGACCUCAAAACAUGCCUUUAACAAUUGAAAAGUGUAAAAGAGAGCUGGACAAACUGGCUCUUGCCAUCUCUGUUCCAAUGAUCAUUUUAUUAUUUCCUUUGGAGGCUUUGAUUGAUAAAGAUUUUAUAUGCCCAUGCGAUGCUAAACUGAAUCCGAUAAUAACAAACCUCAUCUUUGCUGGCCCUUUUAUUUUAGUUUUUGCUUCAAUGUGUAUUAUUUUACAGCAGAUUAAAUUUAAAUCUUCUGUAUUUCAACCUUUAAAAAUGUUGUUUCUUUGCCUGAUUCCACCUUUUGUGUGGAUCGUUCUUGUGCUCCUUGAUGGUGACUAUGUUGCCUGUCGAGACACAGACUGGAAUGGAGUGUAUGUUUCAGAUGAUCAGCUACAUUUGAGAUGGUGUAAACCCACUGACUCAUUUCCAGGAAGAAAUGACACCGAGCUCCAGGCUCUGACGCUCAGCUUUAUUGUCAAGUCACAGAUGUAUGGUUUUGGGAUGCUCCUUUCAUUAGGCAUUUAUUUAAUUGUGCUUCAUAUUGGCUGCUGCCGCAGCUGCGACCACUGCAACUGCACCUGCAGUAAUGACGAGCCAGAAAGUGAGUAACAGACUGAGAAGGAAGAAUUUAAAGGUACUUUUGUUUGCUAUAGACAUGAACCAAGCACAGUUCAGAUCUAAUGAUUGGGGAGGAAACUUUCCUCUGCAGCUCAAAGAAACCAUUGCAAGAAAUGCAUUUCUUCUCUAUAGCCUAUGCGAGUGUAGAAGUUUGAGUUUUAUGGUUUUGUGUUGUUGUUUUAUUAUGUGAUCUUUCCCUUAUUAAAAUGUUUUAUUAAUGUCUUUUAAUAAAAUUAAUGUUCACUUUGGUUCAACUCCUUGUUGUUUGAAUAGUGCUUUAGAAAUAAAUGAACUGAACUGAACUGUUAUAAAAAUGAAACAUGUCCACUGUUAUUGAAAAUAAAUAACAUAACAUAAAUAAAUGAUAUGUUAUAGAUGUAAGGAACAUGUGAAUAUGUCAUGUGUAAAAAAUACAAAUAAAAAUCAUGUUGCAAAUUAAUCUGUGAAGACAAGUAAAGAGAGCAUUAUUUUAUUUUAUUUAUUUAUUUUGUAUUUUUUUGGAAUUUGAAAUCUGCUUGUAUGAAACAGAAAUAUUCUUUCUUUCUUUUUUAAAUACUGAAGAUAUGGAGUCACUUUUUGAACAUAAAUAAGUGCCAAUAUGAAGUACCCCAGUAUGUAUUUUUGAACAACUUCUGGUGACCAAUGAAUGUGCUGUCAUAAGAUUUCUUGUUCACGUUUUACUUUUUUUUAUUUUUUUUCAUUAUUAUUAUUUUGAAACUUUAUUUCACUCACUGAACUGCAAAUCAAUUUCUAACCUUUAUAUAGUGUGUUUUUCUGGAUUUUUUGGUUGGUAUUCUGUCUCUAUCCAUUAAAAUAAACCUACCAUAAAAAUAACAGACCCUUCAUUUUUUUUUUUUUGUAAGAGGGCAAAGUUACAAAAUCAGCACGGGAUCAAAUAAAUAUUUUCCCCACUGUACCUUUUUUGUGAGAGACAGGAAAAACCUUGCAUUUCUUUGGGUUAAGUUUUAUUUUGUGAUUCUUAAUCCAUCACUACUGUUCGAUGUCUACUGGAGAGUUUACUGAAUAAUUACAGAAUUACAGAAUAAUAAUUGGCUCUAGGUGGCACCUAAGAUGGAUGAUUUUUAAAAUUUUUAUGUGACAGGAAUCUUUUAUAGAGCAGUCAUCCAGGUGAUGUUUUUAAAGUAUUGUUUUAUAGUGAAAAAUUUAUUUAAAAAAAAAAAAAUAUUGGAAGAAAUUGAACCUUUCUGGGAGUAUUCCAUGGAAUUUCUGAAGCCCUUGGCUUAAAAAGAUCUUAUAUAAAGAAGGAGUUGCAUGGGCACUAACUGUUGCUGGCAGAAGAUUUAUCUGCAAUAGAACAGAAUUGUUUGGAUUGAGGAAUGGGACAAACCUGAGUCUAGCCUGAUCAACGUCAAGAUAAAACUUAAAGGACCACCCAGUUAAGCUAUGCUAAUAAUGAACCCCAGAUCUCUCGUAAAUAAGACUGAUGAGCUUCAAGCUAUCCAAAGAUCCUUAAUUGUGUGGUGUCAUUAUGAUUAUUUUACUGCUCCUGAUCGUGUUUGAGCCACCUACAAUCCCAAAUCAUAAAUAUCAAACAUGUUUGAUAUUUGCCACUCUUGAUUGGUUUGUCUCUGACAUGAUAAAUAUGAUAGCCAAUGAGAGUAAGUAAGCGUCACCUACUGGAUGUUGUGUGCUUCUAUAGCUGAAACUUUGCAGCCACAAACAUGCCACAAAAUUAGAGCACUGAGAAAGAACAUCCCCUAUUUUAUUUUUAUUUAUUUUUUAUUUUUAUUUUUUUUUUGCAUUUCCCAGUGUCAUUUUACAAUCCAGUCAGUGCAGUUAUUUCAGGAGAGGUGAUGGGAAGUGACUCUAGACCAUUUCUGGAUCAGUCUUAUAAUUUGGGACUUAGUUGAAGCUGGUAAAAUACUUCUUUUAAAAUGCUGGUUAUUGUGACUUUUGUUCUGUUUCCAGGUUGUAAAGGUUCAUGUGGCAAAGAAGCCUGGAGGCUUGGAUUUGACAUGAUCUUGUUUUUGUAGUACAAACCAUCAUAUGGGACAAUUUUACAACUAAUGAAAUAAAACAUAAGUUUGAAUAUUUAUAUAUAAGUGUAUGCUUUGUGACCUUUUCAAAGUGAUUACGUAUUACGUGAAGUUGUGGACGCGCAUCACAGAGCAGUGCAAGGUGAGCAUUUCUGUUUAUAAAGCAUAUACAUUUUUUUUUUUUUUUUUUUUUAAAUGACCGAUCAUUUGGGUAAAUUAUCAGGAAAUGUUUAAUUUGAAAGUGAAAUAAUCCUUUAAUAAAGAUUUUAAAAUCUAUCCUGAGAGUUUUAAAAUGAAAUACAAUUAAUUAAAAGUAAAAUAUUAAAACCAAAUUCACAAAGAGUAUGAUGAAAAUCAACAGCAGUGAUAAUAAAUUAGGUUAAAUGUUAUUGUUGUUAAAGGGAUAUUCCAACCAAAAAUAAAUAAAAAUCUGUUAUCAUUUCCUCGCCCUCAUGUUGUUCCAACCCUGUAUGACUUUCUUUCUUCUGAAGAACAUAAAAGAAGAUCAUAUGAGAAAUGUCUUAGUGGUUUUCAAGGGUAAACAAAAUGGUUUAGUUAGCAACAUUCUUCAAAAUAUCUUUUUUUAUGUUCUUCAGAAGAAAGAAAAUCAUGGGUUGGAACAACAUGAGGGUGAAUAAAUAUCAGCAGUUUACAAUGUGAAUUUGUAUGUGACCAAAAAAAAUUCAAUAUUAAUUUAGUUAACUGCAUUUGGAGUGCAUUCAAUAGUAGUUCAUCCAUUUAUUUAUUUAUUUAUUUAUAACAUUAAUUUUAGCUGGAAACUGCAGAAAACUUUUUUUUUUCAGAGUUGCUGAGAAACCACUUCUUCUUUUUUUCGGUCAAAAUGUAUGGAACAGCUGUCUUUAAAUAGUAAUGCAGAAGCAGAAAUUAACCACACACAACACACAUAGACAAAAAGGGCGAACACAAGAGUAAGUCUUAAAGGAGUAACUUUCUAACUGAAUUAAUUGAAUGUUUGUCUUCGGUGUUAAAACCCAUGCAUUUCUGAAACAACAAUCUUUUUUUUAAUAAUUUUUCGGUAACACUUUACAAUAAGGUUGUAUUACUUAACAUUAGUUAAUGCAUUAGUUAACAUGAACUAACCAUGAACAACACCUAUGUUCAGCAUUAGUUAAUCUUUGUUAGCGUUAACUCACACAUAUAUUAAUGCAUCUAUUCACGUUAACAGUGCAAUUAGUUAACAUUAGUUGAUGCAUGUGUUAACACAAACUAAUGCCUGUAAACAGCCUUAAUGUUUUAAGGUUAACUUACUGUACAUAUUUACAUUAGUUUACGUAGCAGUUGACACACUAAGGGUGAAUAUUUCUAACUCACCAUCUUACCCGUUAGUUAAUGCAUUAGUUAACAUUAACUAACAAUGAACUACACAUCUGUUCAGCAUUAAUUAAUCUUUGUUCAUGUUAACUUAUUCAUAUAAUAAUGUAUUAGUUAAUACAUUA
ensembl:lncRNA